AUGUUCUCCCCCAAAUCGAACCCUCCCUAGACCUCCUCCUCGACCGCCGCCGCCGCCCCCUCUGCUGUUGACCACGCCCUCCACCACCACCCCUUUGGUUGACCUGUGCGACCCCAUCGAGAUCUAUGGCGGCGGUGCUUGGAUCUUGGCGUCGCCUCCCUCGAUACGCCUCUGAUGUGCGAGGUCGUCGUCGCCUCCCUCCCUUCGACACCACCACUAGAACUGGUCGAUGAUUCCAGUCGCCUCCAUCUCUUCUUUACGGUCCAUCACGCCGACGAGCAUAGGCGGACUCCCCACCACGGCUUCCUCCCUACCAACGGCGAGCGUGGUGUCCCAUCUCUACUAUGCUGGUACAAUACUUUCCUCAGAUCCGUCUUGGUGGAAACCCGAUGCAGGUGCUAUUAGUGAAAGGAUUGGAGACUGGUUCUAGCAGUGGUUUGUUUGUUCAAGGAAUUCCUGGUGCUCGUGAUUUGUAAAGGGUUUCAGCCAGGGCAAGUAAUUAUCAGCUGAGCAAAGGCUACAACAUGCUAGGAGAAGUUUGAAUGGAGGCAGAGAGUACACUUGGAAAUAGAAUGGAAAAAGGUAGAGGGAUAAUGCUGAAGCACAAGAGCGAGAGGCUAGCAGAAGUUAAAGCAAUAAACUAUAAGCUUUUUGAAUGAUUAGGGCCUCGUGUUGUUGGUAACAUUACAACCACGGGGAAAGCUAAUUUUGGUUGCUAGUUUAGCAUAGAAGCCACCAUAUGCUCAUUUUGGUCGUGUGUUGCAUCCAAAAACAUAUGUAAUUUUCCUUUUGUGGCACAACACCCUAAUAUAUGGGCGUUUCUAGAAACAUAUGUAUUUGGUCGUUAAUUUUAUUGAAUGAAGUUAAGUUUUAUGAUGAGGCCCAUAUGUGAAUUAUGAAAUAGUGUCAUUUGUCUUG